CUUACUUCUAAGUAGCAUUACAAAAUUUUGUCUAUAUCAACAUCUAUAUAUUUACCUGCCCAAGUCAUUUUCAGCUUUCGUAUUGUACAACAGAGAAUACAACAUCUUAUUUUAUUCUCUCCACAUGUGCUUCUGUUUGAUUACGUGUUAAUAGUUUAUUUUGAAUAUUGACCACAUGACAUCUGGAUACAUUCUAAUAUCGGGAUUAUACAAUGGAUAUUUCCCAUGCUUGAGGAUAACUUGGUGACCUAGUGGCAUCAAAUGGAGCACUUGACCCCGGCGAACUAGGACGGCCAUCUGUUCUCCAAGAAACAGUAAUGGCACAGUAACCCUUCUCAGUCCGACGGAGGGACAGGUAAUAGGCCGUUAUUCAUCGAGGACCGUAGCUUUGUACAUGGUCUGUAUGUCGAUCAGUAUUAAAGUAAAUAAGAAUAAAUGA